rnacentral:lncRNA from 1 species
UGGCAGUUUAAGGAACAUUUACCUAUGGAUUUUUAAUUAAGAUUAAGAACUUCAAGGUUUUUUUUUUUUACGAUGUUAUUUAAAACUUAACUUCCUUCCUUGCAAAUGCACACAUAGUCAUUUUCUCGUUGGCAGUGUAUCUCAUCAGUUUGUGAGGUUAAAUCCGGAAAAUGUUGAACAAAUAUAUUGCUUCUGCUUCAUGUAAGUAAUAAUCUUGUAAUUGUACUUUAAACUACUUUACUUUCACAAAAAAUUCUUAAUUAUUUUAAAUAAAAUUCUCUUUUGUUAUAUUUGAUUGGCAAUUUGCAUUUUUUUCAAUCACUUUUUUAUAGUAUUUUUUUUUAAUCAGACCAACGACUAUUAUCACAGUAUACAUAUAUUUUGCAGCCAUUCUAAAACUCGUAAUACUAGGGCAGCCAGAUUCAUGCCUUUGUUCAGGCGAAUGUUUCUUUUUGAAACAAUGUUUGGAAAAAAAAGGUGCAGACUUCACUGGUUUAACGAUUUCUUUCAACACACAAUACAGCAUAAGAC